UACGAAGGGUGCAAACGUUGCUCGGAAUUAUUGGGCGUAAAGCGCGCGUAGGCGGCUACUUAAGUCGGAUGUGAAAGCCCUUGGCUCAACUGAGGAAGUGCACCCGAAACUGAGUAGCUGGAGUACGAAAGAGGGUCGCGGAAUUCCCGGUGUAGAGGUGAAAUUCGUAGAUAUCGGGAGGAACACCGGUGGCGAAGGCGGCGACCUGGGUCGAUACUGACGCUGAGGCGCGAAAGCGUGGGGAGCAAACAGG
rnacentral:rRNA from 1 species